rnacentral:rRNA from 1 species
UUUUCCGAUACUCUGAGGUGCGAAGUGGUUCUGACCUUUUGGUACAGAGAAGUCAUUGAUGCCCGGCUUCCAGGAAAAGCUGCUAGCCAUAACUUAUAGAGAACCGUACCGCAAACCGACACAGGUGGACAGGUAGAGAAUACUAAGGCGCUUGAGAGAACUCGGGUGAAGGAACUAGGCAAAAUGGUACCGUAACUUCGGGAGAAGGUACGCCCUUUCUGGUGAUGGGAUUUACUUUCAGAGCUGGAGAGGGCCGCAGAGACCAGGUGGCUGCGACUGUUUAUUAAAAACACAGCACUCUGCAAAUUCGUAAGAAGACGUAUAGGGUGUGACGCCUGCCCGGUGCCGGAAGGUUAAUUGAUGGGGUUAUCUUCGGAGAAGCUCUUGAUCGAAGCCCCGGUAAACGGCGGCCGUAACUAUAACGGUCCUAAGGUAGCGAAAUUCCUUGUCGGGUAAGUUCCGACCUGCACGAAUGGCGUAACGAUGGCCACACUGUCUCCACCCGAGACUCAGUGAAAUUGAAAUCGCUGUGAAGAUGCAGUGUACCCGCGGCUAGACGGAAAGACCCCGUGAACCUUUACUAUAGUUUUGCACUGGACUUUGAUGAUGACUGUGUAGGAUAGGUGGGAGGCUGUGAAGUGAGGACGCUAGUUCUCAUGGAGCCGCCCUUGAAAUACCACCCUGUUGUUAUUGAGGUUCUAACUUGGUCCAGUAAUCCUGGAUGAGGACAGUGUAUGAUGGGUAGUUUGACUGGGGCGGUCUCCUCCCAAAGAGUAACGGAGGAGCACAAAGGUACCCUCGGUACGGUCGGACAUCGUACCAAGAGUGUAAAGGCAAAAGGGUGCUUGACUGCGAGAGUGACGGCUCGAGCAGGAACGAAAGUUGGUCUUAGUGAUCCGGUGGUUCUGAAUGGAAGGGCCAUCGCUCAACGGAUAAAAGGUACUCCGGGGAUAACAGGCUGAUACCGCCCAAGAGUUCAUAUCGACGGCGGUGUUUGGCACCUCGAUGUCGGCUCAUCACAUCCUGGGGCUGAAGCAGGUCCCAAGGGUAUGGCUGUUCGCCAUUUAAAGUGGUACGCGAGCUGGGUUUAGAACGUCGUGAGACAGUUCGGUCCCUAUCUGCCGUGGGCGUAGGAAAAUUGAGAGGAGCUGCUCCUAGUACGAGAGGACCGGAGUGGACGAACCUCUGGUGCACCGGUUGUCACGCCAGUGGCAUGGCCGGGUAGCUAAGUUCGGACGGGAUAACCGCUGAAAGCAUCUAAGCGGGAAGCCUCCCUCAAGAUGAGUUUUCCCAUGAAGCCCGUUGAAGACUACGACGUUGAUAGGCAAGGUGUGGAAGCGCAGUAAUGUGUGAAGCUAACUUGUACUAAUUGGCUGAUUGUCUUGACCAU